UGGUGGAAAGGUUAAAACUUGCUAUUUUCUGGCCAGGGGGAGAAAGAUACUGGCAGUAUGGGGCGUUAAAGUUUAUUGAAGAUUAAAUUCUGCAGAACAUGUAAAUAUAUAAAGUUCACAUAAAUUUCAGGGAAUGUAUACAUGUAGCUAUGUCAGUGCACAGAAUUCCUCAUUCCUUACUGGCUCACUUGACCGAGGUGCAGUUUUAUCAUGAAAAGGCACAGGUGAAUUUGUAGAAUACCUUCUGGAUAAGGAGGACUGGAGGUAAUAGCACAACCAUCAAGCUAUAUAUAAAGAUCUCUGUUGUCAAGGUUUGUAGAGACUUUAUACAAAUCUGGUGGGUAUAUGGGUGACACAUGGAUGGAGAGAAAAUUGGAAGGAAUAUUAUGUGACACAGGAAGUGAGGAAGUUGAGUGAGUGGUUGCUGUCUGCAUAAAUCAGCUCAUGAAAUGACUUGAGCAGAAGUAGUGCCAUUAUAUUGCCUCAUAUGGUAUACAUGUGGAUAGUGUGUGAAAGGUCCAAGAGGAGGAAUAUAUGACUGGUAUACCAGUCAUAUAUGCAAGAUACUAUGUGCCUACUGGGUAUACAAGAUACUAUGUGCCUACUGGGAGCUGGGAAAGAACAACCCUGGCAAGCAGACAAGCAGACCGGCUGGGAGCCCACACCAACCAGUCGUCGAGGUGACUGGUCUUUCCCACCUUUUCAUAUCAUUUUUGCAUAUAUUUCCCACCUGCUUCUUAUUUGUUUAUACAUACACUAUGCUUCAAUAGCUGCAAAUAAACUUAUGGCAGGCCUAAA